GUUUACCCUCUCUUUCUCCUCUCACAUUGCAGGGGAAAAUUCUAAUUUUAAACUCAUAAAAAUCUAAUCUUUUUUGCAUCUUCUCGAGCCGAGCUUAAGCUCGCAGAAGAGGGCAAAACAUUAGCUUCUUCUCACUUGAUUUAUUGUGGAGCUAGAUAGUUUGCUCAGGUAUCAUAGCUUUCUUAGCUGAGAUCUCGGAAGAAAAGCACCAAUUUUCACUGAAAUAGGUAAGUUAAUGCUUAUGCGAAGACCCACUUUGUUUUCCUCGAGCUUUCAUAUCUUUGAUUUACUUCAUUGUGAACAGUAUGAAUGGGGGUUUGAAAUGGUUUACUUCAUUUUAUGGGUUUCUUUUUGCUUAGGGUUUGAAUCUUUGGAUUAACUAAUUAUUAUAAAUGUCAAUUAUUAUUAUUUCCUGGUGGUGUUUGUACUUCUUGUAGUUGAGAGGGAGUAUAGGAGGAAAUGGAAGGAAAGGAGCACGGGUUGAUGCUGGCAUGUGUCAUUUUGGGGACCCUUUUCUUUGUUAUGGGUUCUGCUUUUUUAGCUAGGGUAUGAUUGGUGAAUUGGAGGCCGUGGCUGAUAUAUAGGUGAUUAUUCUUUUUCAAUAUGAUGAUUAUCUCUAAUUAUUUUCUGUUUAUAUAUGGAAAGGAUACUUGAGGCCUCUUUCAUCUAUUUCUAUAUGAAAGCAAAACUGAAGAUAAUAGUAUCGUGUUAAAGAACCUUAAAUAACCCCAAACUGUACAAUAAGUGCCAUAGCCUGAAAUGACCAACAUGGAUAGGACGAAGUGGACUUCUAACCUAUUACGAUUGUGACAUGAAAUCAUACAAUGAGCGGAAACAAGGAGGUGGAAAUGGAGUCUGGAAGUUUGGUGGUAAUUUAAGGUCGUCUUCCAUUUGGAAGCCAUUUGCAAGAAAAACUAAAUCAUUCAUGAGUUCAGUUUCAAGGAAUUCAUCAUGCGUUGAGAAGUCUCUUGAUAAUUUGUUGAGAGAGCAUGAUAUUUCGCACGACUUUAAUGACACAAUCCGUAAGCAACCACUUCAAAUAUCUAAUAUUGUUGUUACAGUGUCAAAAAGAAUUUAAAAGCGGUUUUUCUUUUUUUUGCAGGGUACUUCUCAAUUCUUGCACGUGAACUCCUUUUUAAUAAGAGCCGAGAGGAUAUUCUAGCGAUAAGUGACUAUUACCUUGUUUUCUAGGUGUGAAGCUAUGAUUAAAUCCAUCAUUAGUUCCUUAGCUCAUAUGCUGCCGCUUUUUGAAUUAAUUGUUUAUGUUGAACUAAUAAUAUAUGAUGUAAAGGUGCCACUAACUAAUUGUGUUAUGUGAUAAUAUGAAGUAGUUGAAGAAUCCUUUUGAAUACAUCAGAAAGGGACAAAUAAUGAAAAUAUGCUUAUGUGUCUAUACAGAUUCUUGGUUCUCUAAUUUUUUUCGAUCAGACAACUAUGAGUCAAGUAGUGUCAUAAAUUCAACUCUUAAUUUCCUAGAAAUAUAGUCAUUAGAAAUGUCAAAAGCUGUACACUAAAAAGUAUAAAACGCUUGAAUGGUUGCUACCCUUAAUAAAGCAAAUGAAGUAAUCUUUUGUGUGCUUCUGAGUUCUGGAUUUCUUUCUUGAAUUGUGUAUUUUUUUGUGAUGUUAAUUUGUGAGCUAAUUAGAUAUGCAAUAAGAUAUAAAACUUUCUGAACUUGUUGAUGGAUCAUACUUGCAACAUAUGAAAUAUUAGAAUUGAUAAAUUUCCUAAAAUCAUGUUAAAAUCGAUAGCUUUCACAAACUAUGUAUCAUUUUUUUGAAUUGGAAGCAAGUUGUUGUCUCAUAUUUAGUUUAACUACGUGUAGGAUAGGACAACUAUGUUUUUAAAGAUUCAAAUCCUCGUGUAAAUAUUUGUAACUCUUCUAUGCAAAUAUAAUGGAUUGGUUGUAACCAAUUAAAUAUGUUCUUUACAAUAUCAAUUGGUGUGGACAUUUUAUCUUGCCUUUCAGUCAUCAAAUCCUCUCUGUACCUUCUUAUUGGGCCAUCUGUCAUGUUUAAAUGUAUUUACUUCAAUCUCCUUACUAGAUCGGUAUGAUUUGAUUUCCACUUUCAUUGAAUCGAAACUUCUACCUUUUCAAUGUGAAGUUGUCUACGUAAGCACAUUAUAUUAAAAUAUGUUGAUGCUUUCAUUUGAUGCAUAAUUGGAUAAUUUGGUGACCUCGACUUUUGGCUUAUUGUGAACUGCUAUUGCAAUUUGAGGAUUGAUAAUUUGGGUCUUUCUAGAUUUAAUGAUUUAUAUUGCAGCAUGGAAUGCGUGCCCUGCUGGCUGAUAAAAUGGGACUUGGAAAGACUCUUCAGGUAUUAAAUCUUUUAUACUGUAAUACAUCUCAACUCAUUUCGUUGGAUUGGCUAAUGGGGAUGGGCUCAUAAUUUCCUUUGAGCUUCUGUUUUACAUGGUUGUGCAAGUUUCAGCUAUCUGUGAAAUUCGUUUCCAAAAAAUCAACAAUUACUGAACUACUUUUAUCAUGAACUACGUUGUUUAACAUUUAACGCAAGAUUUUUCAUGCUAAAGAUUGUUGUUCUGUGCUAAUUUAAUACAAGAUUUUUCAUGCUAAAAAUUUUGUUCCUUUUGUCCUGUAAAGUUUUGCAUGGGACUUGACUAUCCAUGUACCUUAUUUGAUUUAGAGGUUUUAUUGAAUAGUUGUUUUGAUUUCUAUAAUUGCUAUUUUCAAAAUGGAGAUUAGAUCUGCAAUAGUUUGGUUAUAUUGUUGAUGCAUGAUAUCCCGUCUAAAAGUAGUUAAAACUAAGGGGGAAAUUCCAAGAUGAAUUUUUUAGUAAUAUGUUAUGUUUAGGUUCAUAAUCCAUUUAGCUUUGUGAAUCCAAUAAUUAGAUGCGUCCUGCAGUGAGAGAACUUAUAUUCAGAUUCAAACUCAUUUGAGAAUAACUGCUUUUACAAUUGUAACUAAACUGUACCUUCAGGAUUUACUACUGGUUAGUUUUAAAGAUUAAAUCUGUUUGAGAUAUCAAAGUAGAAUAGUUAUAGCAGAUUAUCUCUUGGCUCUUGCGAAUGUCAAAAGAUUUUGAAGCAUGUAUUAACUUUAGUAAUUUCCUUUGGCAUGAAAACUUAGUAGAGCCCAAAAAAAAUUAAAUAUCCGAUCACAACUGCAGGCAAUUGAUGUGAGGAAAGAUUCUAGCAAGGCAGCUCUAAUCGCCGACAGUGAAAGGUCGGUGAUCUUGUGCUUGCAAAGGGUCAAAGGAUUUCAAACAUGACUAGCUAUGGUAAUCCCUUCAUUUUUACACCAAGCUUUGUUUUUGGUUUUUUUCUCCUGUUAUUGAAUUAGAAUUUAGUGUAUCAUGCUAAUUUUCUUAGAUUUUUACUGUUCUUGGGUGUUGAAGUCAAUUAUAAGGUUUCUUCAUAUCUUUUGUUAACUACGGAUCUGACUUGGAAAUCAUACAUUUCACUCUUUCAAUUUUCUUAUGAGUAGGAGCAUGUUCUUUGGAGUUGACAAUGUAAGUAAUAAUAUACGUUUCCAAUAAAAAAUUGACAAAAUGAUAUUUGGGCAUCCCAUAUAGUUUGUGUAUGAAUUCACAUCCGAGUAAUUUUUGUCUACAAUGGAACUACAAUGGUGUACAACAUAAAUUUAGGAUACUUAAAAAUAUAAAAUUAUAGGUACCACUGCUCAAGUUUGUCAUUAAAAUAGAGAACUGCUCUAAGUUUUUGAUUUGUUAUUCUUCAGGUUUAUAUUCCUUGAUGGAUCUGUCAUCUAGAUGUAGAAAACAAAUUUCUUGCUUGCAUGGGUUUAUUAGUCCGAUCUAUGUAGAUGAAAAUUAGAAGAUUUUAUUUCAUAUUUUUCAUAUCAAAAUGGAGCAUGUAGCAGAUGGUAUAAAGAUGAUUGCUAAUCACAAAGAGCUCCUGUUUUGAGGACUCUCUUUCUCUAAACCUAUCAUUCCCCUUCCUAUUCUGUUACUUAUGUAACAUCUCUGAAUUUAUUAACAACACCAUUCCCACACUGACGGAAGUGGUUGUAUUCAAAUAAACAUCUUCAUCAUAAGCUACACUUUCUUGAGUUCUGUAGCUUUUAAUGUGCUUUGACAUCUCAUUUAUUGUCUACCUGUUUUUUACUAAAUAUUGAGUCGCAAAACUAUCAAGGUGUUUAUAAUCCAGUUACCUCAAUCCAUGUUUUUUUCUUGCUGGAUCAAGUUCCAUUGUAUUUUGUAACUAAAGUUAAAUAAUAUUGUAUUGAUUAGAAAUCACGAACUUCACUUUAUUUAUGCACCACGCACUCAGUAUUUUUUUUUUUUUUUUUUUUUUCCAGUCGAUUGCAAGUAUGGCCUGUUUAGAUUUUCCUUAGGAACAUAUUCCACUUUUGGAUGUCCAUCAAUAUACGAAUUGAUGGCCUAUCUAGACUUUCCUUAGGAACAUGUUCCACUUUUGGAAAUCCGGAGGAAGAUGUAUGAUAGUGAUAGAAAUUCCACUACCAUGCUCGAAGCUUGUCCCCCAAUAGAAGUUGUAACAAUAUUUUUGGAGGCUUUUUCAAGAAAUAACUUGAGCUACAAAGAAUUAUGCAAAAGAAAACGCUCUCUUUACUGAGAUGAUGAAGAGAAUGAUUUUCUAUAUAGAAUGUAGCACUUCUGUUCAAUAAAAUGUCAGUAUAAUAAGACUGUAAACAUUUCCUGCAUUUUUUUUAAAAUUUGAUUGAUUAUAGAUAAUUUUAUCCUAAUUCUUAUUUAGUCGGUUGAUUUCUAUCUAGGAUGCCAAAGUUAUUUUUGAACCCAAAUUUGAUGAUUGUUUGUAAAUGAUACAAGGCUAUUUGUAUUGCAGUCACAGCGUGCAAGGAAAGCUGGUCACGGUGUAAUGACAGCCAAAUUUGAUCUAAAAUCCCUAUCAUAUGCACUGGUAAAACCUGAAAAAUGCUCAGACUGCUUCCUCUGUGGUUUUUUAAAAUCAUUUUUUUUUUUUUUUUUUACCUUUUACAUUGUUUAGAUUUACUCCACCUUAUUAAUGAAUCCUAUAUAUUAAUAAAUAAUUAUGGCUCCUUUCUAUGCUUAAGCUUUUAAGGGGAGGCGUUUUUUAAGCUUGCCUCUAGGGAUUGAAUGAACAAAAGACAAUUACAUAAAUGCCAACUUAAAAGUUCAGCUUAGGUCUCAAAAUCUCAAUUACGGCCUUGGUUGAGUUAUUCUGUAAAUAUGAAUGUAUGAUUAGUGAAUGUAGGAAUUUGUUGUGUUUCAUGUAAUCUAGGAUUUUGUUCUUCCUUUUGGUGUAUUAUUAUUAUAAUUUUUUUUUUUGGGGUUUUGAUCUUUCCAAGGUCGUUAACGAAGUUCUUGAUAUCAGACGAUGUCCAGGUAUCUCUCUCUCUAGCAAUCCUGAAUUCAAAAACUAUGAAUUUUCAAAUACUAACUUUUCUAUAUUGUAUGUUAAGGAAAUUCUAUCCAAAUGAGUGAUGGAGUUGGAGCUGUGUUUCUAAUGAAGAAACGUGUUACAAUGCAGAAAGGAAUUCCAAUCCUUCGUGUAUUCAGGUGCUUAUCUUAUGUAACUAUUUUUUUUUUUUUUUUUUUGUAUAUCCAUCCUAUUAAGUAGCCAACUAUACUAUAG
rnacentral:lncRNA from 1 species